UACGGGGGGGCAAGCGUUGGUUCGGAAUUACUGGGCGUAAAGGGCUCGUAGGCGGCCAACUAAGUCAGACGUGAAAUCCCUCGGCUUAACCGGGGAACUGCGUCUGAUACUGGAUGGCUUGAGUUCGGGAGAGGGAUGCGGAAUUCCAGGUGUAGCGGUGAAUGCGUAGAUAUCUGGAGGAACACCGGUGGCGAAGGCGCAUCCUGGACCGACACUGACGCUGAGGAGCGAAGCCGGGAGCAAACGGG
rnacentral:rRNA from 1 species